rnacentral:lncRNA from 1 species
UUUUUUUUCAAUCCUAUUUAGUUAUGAAUAUGUUAAAAUUCACUAAUGAUUAUGAAAUGGAGAUAAAAACUAAUAGAUUUUAUUUCAUCAGUGUUAAUUAUUUAUGAUUUUCACCUCUAUUCAAUUUAUUCAUCAGUGUUAAUACAUGAUUAUAGUUAUCAUCAUACAUGAUUUUAGUAAUCAUCAUACAUGAAUAAAUCUUUAUUCAUUAUAAGGUUUAUGGUAAUGUGACAACCCCAAAAUCACGGCCAGAAAAGACCGGUUUAAUUUAUGCUUUUAAAAUAAUUUCAAAGUAAUCCUUUGAUUAAAAGAGUUGCGGAAUUUGUUCCCAAAACAAAAUAUGAUAAAAAUAAGAUUUACCAAAGCAUUUCUUAAAGAAAUGUAUUUUUCAUUAUAUUACAAUACUCGGGAUGUCAUGUUCCGAUAAACAAACCAAACGCAUAAACAUUUCAAUACAGACCUUACAACAGUUAUUUAUAAAGACAUGUCUAUAAUCCAAAAAUAACUUGACAAGUGAUCCAACUUAUGCUCUGGCGCCACUACCUGUAAUACAAAGAAACCGAGUGGGUCAGGUUUGGGAGCCUAGUGAGCAUAUAGGGUUUUCAACCCACAAUAAAUAAUUAUAUUUAAUUCCACCAACCAACAAUAACCCAAUUACCCAUUCCCGUUAUUCUCAUUUUACGUCCCUAAAACAACUAACACAAGGGACCUGGUCUUAGAAUAUUUCAUCAGGGCGACAACCCAUGCAUUCGGGGGUUUCCCAGCAAUAUAUGUCAAAUAAGGCAACCAUGAGGAAGGAUGGAGUACAACGAAUGGACACCCAAGUUCAUUAACACCUACAGGUGGCGAGCCUGCUAGCGUUCCACAAGACUGUCUAGAAAGUCUGUGGUCGUCAUCUAAACUCCGCUAGAUGACUGAACCAAAAACAACAUCGACGACUCUCAUCUGUUUAUCACACAUCAACUAUCUACCCAUGUUCUACCCAACAUAUUAGUAGAUAAAAAUAUAUAUUUUUAUGCAUAGUUUAAAACCUGUAUAGCAUUCUCAUUCAAUACAUAUUCCAAACAACAGAUGAGACACAUACACAUAACACGUAUUUCAUAGAGAAUAAAUCAUAUCUAUGAGAUAGAAGAAAGUGAAUAUACAUUCACACAUAUAACAACAAAAUAUACACAUAACACGUAUUUCGUAUAAAAUACUUCAUAAUUAUGCGUUAGAAGAAAGUGACUACACACUCACUUGAUCAGAAGAUGAUCGGACAGCACUACGACUUGUAGAAGUAGUAUUCUUCGGUGAAACUGGGUUCACUUCACUCACCGGGCUUCUUGCGGGUAGAGUUUCGGCUCGGAAACUCUUUUCUUUGUGGGAUCUUCGAGCUUCGGGACUUGCUUCGGGUCUCGGGAUGAUAUCGGGGCUUCGAGGGGUACUUCUUUGCACACAAAUCGAGGUAAUAUGAGUGAGACGAGAGAAUUUGAGCAACCAAACUCGGUUGGCCCUUCAAAUCUAUUUAUAGGGCAAAAUUUGUCUUUUCCACGUCGUGGAACGUUUUACCACGUCGUGGUGGCUGGGUCAUCACUACAUGCAUCAUUGCAAAUGGGUCUGACAGACUCCAGAGCUCCUACAACGUCGUGGCACUUUUACCACGUCGUGGUGGCUGUCAGUUUUGGGGUUUCGCGCCCCGAACUUCAGAAAUUCAUAAUUUUCGCAUACGAUCUCCGUUUUCGACAUUCUUUAUAUCGACGCGUAGGUGAGAACAUGCUCUACAACUCUCAUUUAGACUCCGUUGUCUAAUUUUGACAUUAUUUUUAAUAUAUUAUAAAUAUAUUACUUUUAUAUUAUUUUUAGUAGGCCCGGACAGGAAAACUCUGUUAUAAAUUCAUAACUUCUUCAUCUGACGUCCGUUUUCGCCUAUCUUUUUAUCGUUUCACUACUAUCGAUGGGAUCUUCGAUUCUCGUUUAGAUUGUUUCGGCUAAAAAUCACUCGAUCUCAAAUCGAGGAUUCGGGUUGCAUACUGCUAAGUCGAAACUUCGGAAAAAUCAUAACUUCCUCAUACGAAGUCAGAUUUGGGCGUUCUUUUUAUGCACGCUCUCGGUUUAAUGAACUCUACUACUUUCGUUUAGAUCACUAAGGCUAUAUAUCUCUCUAUCUUAAUUUCAUGUUUUACGUCAUUCGGCGUCGUGUCGGUUCUGUCGCGAAACUUCGACAGAUCAUAACUUCUUCGUUAUAACUCGGAUUUCGGCGUUCUUUAUAUGUACGGAAUCCUUGUAACAUAUACUACAACUUAGUUAAGAUUAUUCAUUCUAAAUAAUCUUUNAACUUUUGACGCUUAUUUUAUCCUUAAUUUAAUUAUAUCUUUAUAAACAAUUAAAUAAGCACAUAAUUCACAUAAUACUCAAAUAAUUCAUCUUCAUUACUUCAAAAAGAGUUACAAAGGUUAACCUAGGCUAUUACAUCAACAAUGAUGCCUAGCCUUGAAACGUGGGCGUUAUAAUUCUCUCCACCUUAGGAUGAUUCCGUCCCCGGAAUCACACAUCAACAAACAAAUGUGGAUAGCGACUCAACAUGUCACUCUCCGUCUCCCAAGUGAGAUUUGGCCCAUUUGAAUGUUUCCAACGGACAAGCACUAAUUCGACCAUCUUGCGUCGAAGCUUCUUAGUCUUUUGGUCAAUAAUUGCCUCUGGUUAUUCAAUCAACCUCUUGUUCUCAUCCAAUCUUAGUUCAGAAAUUGGAAUUAUGUCGGGAACUUCCUCUGUGAACUUCCUCAAAUAACACACAUGGAAAGUGUUAUGAAUACCAUUUAGUUCUUCUGGUAAUUCGAGCUAGUAAGCUUGGUUCCCAAUUCUCUGAAGAACUUUAAACGGUCUAAUAAACCUUGGACUCAACAUUCCCCUUUUACCAAAUCUUAUAAGUCCCUUCCACGGUGAGACUUUAAGUAAAACUGAAUCCCCAACUUCAAAAGUCAUCGGUCUUCGCUUCUUGUCAGCAUAGCUCUUUUGACGAUCUUGAGUUGCUAACAUUCUUUCCCUGAUCACUUUCAACUUCUCAGUAGUCUGAUGGACCAUCUCGGGUCCCAUAAACUGCUUUUCUCCGGCCUCAAGCCAACAAGAUAGCGUACGACACUUUUGUCCGUACAAAUCUUGAUAAGGUGCCAUCUUUAUGCUCGAGUGGAAAUUAUUAUUGUAGGAAAAUUCUACCAAAGGUAAAUGUUCAUCCCAUUUACCUUGGAAUUCUAGGGUACAUGCUCUCAACAUAUCUUCAAGUGUUUGUAUUGUUCUUUCACUCUGACCAUCAAUCUAUGGAUGGUAAGCUGUACUUAAACACAACUUGGUACCCAUUUCCUCUUGUAGACUUUUCCAAAACCUUGAGGUGAAACGGCUGUCAGGAUCCGAUACAAUUGUUAAUGGAACACUGUGAAGCCUCACAAUCUCCUUCACGUAUGAAUUCGCAAGCUUUUCCAUAGACUACUUCUCAUUGGCUGCUAUGAAAUGCGCACUCUUAGUGAACCGAUCAACGACCAGCCAAAUCAUGUCGUGACUACUUUUCGUUCUGGGCAGUUUAGUGACAAAAUCCAUAGUAAUGUCUUCCCACUUACCCAUAGGCACAGGUAAAGGUUCUAAACUCCUAUAUGGUUUCUGAUGUUGUGUUUUGACUCUCGCACAAGUCACACACUCGGCCACAUACUUUUCAACAUCAAGCUUCAUCGUUGGCCACCAGUAGUAGGGUUUCAGGUCCCUAUACAUUUUAGUACUGCCAUGAUGAAAUGAGUACAUGGUUUUGUGAGCUUCUUCCAUCAGAAGAUCUCUUAAUCCUCCUGACUUAGGCACCUAAAUUCGAUCUUGGAAUACCUUUAGUCCAUGACUGUUUGUAUCAAACACCAAUGUUUGCCCAAACGUUCUCCCUUUCGGUCAUUCUUCUCAGAAGCUUCCUCUUGAGCUUUCUUUAUACUUUCCACAAUGGUUGAGACAACUUCAAUUCUCAACGCUCUUGGCCUCUUUCUUUCAAAAUUGACUGUCCGACUGAGAGCAUCAGCUACAACAUUAGCCUUAUCGGGGUGGUAAAGUAUCUCACAGUCGUAGUCCUUAAGCAACUCUAGCCAGCGUCGUUGCCUCAUAUUUAACUCUUUCUAAUUAAAGAGAUAUUGGAGACUCUUAUGAUCGGUGAAAAGUUUGCACUUCGUGCCAUAGAGGUAAUGCCACCAUAUUUUCAAAGCGAAAACUACGGAUGCCAACUCCAAAUCAUGAGUGGGGUAGUUCUUUUCAUGCUCCUUCAGUUGUCGAGACGAAUAUGCUAUCACCUUUUCUCUUUGGGUCAAAACACAACCCAACCCAACACCAGACGCAUCGCUAUAAACAGCAAAGUCUUCAACUCCAUCGGGUAGAGAAAGAAUCGGUGCCUCGCAUAGUUUCUUCUUUGGUUUCUCGAAUGCUUCUUUAUGCUUAUCACUCCAAGCAUAAGUAGCUCCUUUGUGGGUCAAAGUUGUUAAUGAAGUAGCAAUCGAAGAAAAGCCUUGGAUAAACCUUCGCUAAUAUCCGUCUAAUCCUAAAAAGCUUCGGAUAUCCGUGGGACUUUUUGGUUGUUCCCACUUCAUCACAACUUCAAUCUUUGCUGGAUCAACCAUUAUCCCUUCCUGGUUGACCACGUGACCCAAGAAUUGGACUUUUCGAAUCCAAAAAUCACAUUUGGAGAACUUAGCAUACAGCCUCUCCUUCUUCAAAACUUCUAACACUUCUCGCAAGUGUCUGUCAUGCUCCUCUUGGCUUUUCGAGUAAACUAGAAUGUCAUCUAUGAACACUAUCACAGAUUUAUCAAGGAAUGGAUUACAAACCCGAUUCAUUAAAUCCAUGAACGAUGUUGGAGCAUUGGUUAGUCCAAAUGACAUAACCAAAAACUCGUAGUGUCCAUAUCGUGUUCUGAAUGCAGUCUUCUCGAUAUCCUGCUCUCUUACUUUCAGCUGAUGAUAUCCUGACCUUUGAUCGAUCUUCGAGAAAUAGCUCGAACCUUGAAAUUGAUCAAAAAGAUCGUCGAUCCUUGGCAACGGAUAUCUAUUCUUUAUCGUUGCUUUAUUCAGCUCUCUGUAAUCAAUGCACAUUCUCAUGCUCCCGUCUUUCUUCUUUACGAAUAACACCGGAGCUCCCCAGGGCGAUGAACUAGGUCUAAUGAAACCUUUGUCCAAUAACUCCUGAAGUUGCAUCAUCAGCUCCUUCAUCUCCAUUGGUGCUAAUCGAUACGGUGCUUUUGCUAUUGGCGUGGUUCCUGGUAACAAGUCUAUUCUAAACUCCACUUGUCUAUCAGGUGGUAAUCCAGGAAGAUCUUCGGGAAAUACUUUUGGAUAAUCACACACCACUGGAAUAUUCUGUAUCACCUUCUUUUCCUUCUUAGCAUCAAUCACGAAUCCUAAAUAUGAUGUACAUCCCUUGGUCAAACACUUUCUGGAUUUCAUUAAAGAAAUGAUUCCAGAAUUUACUUGGCGUUUAUCCCAGUACACCAUAAAUGACUUUUUCCCCGACGGGUUUACUUUUACUAUCUUCUUUCUGCACAAUAUCUCGGCGUCAUUGGCGCUAAGCCAAUCCAUUCCCAGAACGACGUCGAAACCAUUAAGUUCGAUAGGCAAUAAUUCCUCGUGAAAAUUAUUCCUAUUAAGGUCGAUUAAGAUGUUUUUCAUAUGAUGGCUAACAGGUACAAACUUGCCACUAGCAACUUCGACUAAUAAAGCAUUAUCUAGUCUAUCAACAGGCAAAGCUAGUUUUCUACCAAACUCAUGCGAAAUAAAGGAGUAGUUGGCUCCAGAAUCACGAAAAAUUUAAGCAGGUAAUUCGUUUACGAGAAAGGUAGCUGAAGCGACAUCAGCUUCAUCUUUCGCAGCCUCAAGUGUCACCUGAAAGGAUCUCGCCUUCGGUUUUGGUGGAAUGUUGGGCUUAGCUGCCUCCUUCUUCUUCAGAUAGUCUUUCAAAAUGUUCCCUUCCUCGUUACAACCAAAGCACAUCCUUUUGUUGGGUGGACACUCAUUGGCAAAAUGCCUAAUUUUUCCACACUUGUAGCAGGUUACAUCCUCACUACAUUUCCCAAAGUGGUUUUUCUUGCACUUCUCACACCAUUUCGCUUCGUCUCCUUUUCCUCCAAACUUUUUCGAAUCAGACUUCGAAAAUUUGCUUUUCUUAUUGGAACCUGAAGUUCCUUCAAACUUUCUCUUCUCGCCAACUUCAACCUUGCUGGCGGUUCUUCCCUUGAUCAUGUNACUUGGCACCAAAUAGCUGCCUCUAGAGUAGGUGCCUGACGCACUGGCCCUGCAUACUCCCACGGGAGUCCCUUUGCGUACCGGUCAACUUUAGUCAGUUCGUCUGGGACGAUGCGCAAAGCAAACUCCAUCUUGUCUCCUGCAUACUCCCACGGGAGUCCCUUUGCGUACCGGUCAACUUUAGUCAGUUCGUCUGGGACGAUGCGCAAAGCAAACUCCAUCUUGUCUGUGAAGUUAUUAGUAUAUUCGUCAACUGACAUGCUGCCCUUUGUCAAUGUCAGAAACUUGUUUUCCAACUCCAACAGAUUUUGAGCCGAGCAGAACUUGCGCUUGAACUGCACCAAGAACUCUGCCCAUGUCAAUUGCAGUGGUUCAUUUGGGCUUAGGGUCUUCCCAAGAGUGUUCCACCAAUGAACAGCUCCACCCCUGAAUUGACGCACUGUGAACGUGGUCUGCAACUUGCCUCUACAGCCACAAGUCAUAAAGGCCAAUUCCAUCUCCAAGAUCCAAUCCAUGAAUCCGAUCGGAUCCUCCUUUCCAGUGAAGGUCGAUGGUUUGCAAGUCAGAAACUCCUUGUACUUGCAUCCCAUUCCAUCAUUCCUUCCAUCCUGAUUGUUUUGCCUAACUAUCGGUGGGUUGGCUUGACCAACAGAUCCACUGAAGUUUCCACCUUCCGAGUGACCUUCAUCUAAUUCGGGCUCUUCCACUUGAAUUGACAGUUCUUCACGAUUCUGUUGAAGCAACCGCCUAGUAUCCUCCAUUUGACGAUCCAACAUUGUUUGAAUCAUCAUUUGUACACCAGCCAUUGUUAGUGGCUCUGGUGCUGCAGCUACAACAGCUAUUUGUUCAAUCACUGGUGGUUGAUUCCUGUUUUCAUCAGCAUUCCCAUCUCCACUCCUCGUUCUCACCAUUUUUGAUAUAUACACCGAAUAAGGUGAAAUUAGAUCCUCAUUCACGAUAGAUAUUCAAAUCAUCCUUAUCACUCCGAAACAUUUACAUGCUAGUUCUAAUAUCGUAGACGUACGCUAAGAAUCCUACACACAUAAGGUUUCCAGAUCCNGUGGCUCUGGUGCUGCAGCUACAACAGCUAUUUGUUCAAUCACUGGUGGUUGAUUCCUGUUUUCAUCAGCAUUCCCAUCUCCACUCCUCGUUCUCACCAUUUUUGAUAUAUACACCGAAUAAGGUGAAAUUAGAUCCUCAUUCACGAUAGAUAUUCAAAUCAUCCUUAUCACUCCGAAACAUUUACAUGCUAGUUCUAAUAUCGUAGACGUACGCUAAGAAUCCUACACACAUAAGGUUUCCAGAUCCGGUUGGCAACAGACCAUAGAUCCAAACAAAUAAUAGCAUCAAUAUAGCUAUCACACAAAACAUUUUGCACAUAAGAGCAUUUUAGGCAUCAUUCCUAAAAUAAACUAGUGCUUGUGUCAAUUUAGGUGUACUACCUAACAUAUUUUAGACACACUCCUCACAACCAUUACUUAGCAUUCUAAGUUUAAGUCUAGAAAUCCUACAAAUUCCUAGUUCGCUUAAACUAAUGCUCUGAUACCAACUGUGACAUCCCCAUUUUCACGGCCAGAAAAGACCGAUUUGNAACAUUUCAAUACAGACCUUACAACAGUUAAGUAUAAAGACAUGUCUAUAAUCCAAAAAUAACUUGACAAGUGAUCCAACUUAUGCUCUGGCGCCACUACCUGUAAUACAA